UACGGGGGGGGCAAGCGUUGUUCGGAAUUACUGGGCGUAAAGGGCUCGUAGGCGGCCCACUAAGUCAGACGUGAAAUCCCUCGGCUUAACCGGGGAACGGCGUCUGAUACUGGAGGGCUUGAGUUCGGGAGAGGGAUGCGGAAUUCCAGGUGUAGCGGUGAAAUGCGUAGAUAUCUGGAGGAACACCGGUGGCGAAGGCGGGUCUCUGGGCCGAUACUGACGCUGAGGAGCGAAAGCGUGGGGAGCGAACAGG
rnacentral:rRNA from 1 species